UACGUAGGGGGCAAGCGUUGUCCGGAUUUACUGGGUGUAAAGGGCGCGUAGGCGGAUUAAUAAGUCAGAGGUGAAAGCCUGCAGCUCAACUGCAGAAUUGCCUUUGAAACUAUUGAUCUUGAGUAUGGAAGAGAGAAGCGGAAUUCCAGGUGUAGUGGUGAAAUACGUAGAUAUCUGGAAGAACACCAGUUGCGAAGGCGGCUUCUUGGUCCAUUACUGACGCUCAGGCGCGAAAGCGUGGGUAGCAAACAGG
rnacentral:rRNA from 1 species